GCUGGGUGUGGUGGUGCACCCCUGUAAUCCCAGCUACUUGGGAGGCUGAGGCAGGAGAAUCACUUGAACCCAGGAGGCAGAGGUUGCAGUGAUCCAAGAUCAUGCCACUGCACUCCAGCCUGGGUAACAAAGUGAGGCUCUGUCUCAA
ensembl:misc_RNA Metazoa_SRP Metazoan signal recognition particle RNA